GAAUGAAGGAGAGGUCAGGCACAGUGGCUCACGCCCGUAAUCCCAGCUCUUUAAGAGGCAGAGGCGGGCGGAUCGCCUGAGGUCAGGAGUUCAAGACAAGCCUGGCCAACAUGGCGAAACCCUAUCUCUACUAAAAAUACAAACAUUAGCCGGGCGUGGUGGUGCAUGCCUUUAGUCCCAGCUACUUGGGAAGCUGAGGCAGGAGAAUCGCUUGAACCUGGGAGGUGGAGGUUGCACAGCCUGGGUGACAGAAGGAGACUCCGUCUCAAAACAAAAGGAAUGAAGCUUAAAGUAUUUUCAGAAAUCUGAGGGGAACAUCACCUGUGCUUUAUUGGUUAUUUUGAUAAGUGAAAUAGAGGAAAAACUGCUUUGAUUUGAGUUGAUGUCUACACAUGCGAACUCGUGAGAAACAGCAAAGCCCACAAUCCACAUGGACAUCAUCAUCGUUCAGGAACAGGCAUGGUCUCCACUCUUUCCAUGCACACGCCCUGGCUUCAAAAAGACAUCUGAAACACUAGUGAUGACCAUCAUUACCCCAUCUGUGAGCUCCAGGCACGGCACAGCCCUGCAAGGUAAAUGUUAUUACUGAAGGUCAGAGAAGUUCCGUAACUUGCCCAGUCACAUACCUGGCACGGAGCUAAGCCAAGCUUCGAGCUCAAGUCCUCCUGAUGCGAAAGUUAUUUCCACUGAACCAGCCCAGGCAAAAUCCUGGUCGGGUCUGUGUUACUCUUUGCUUUCAAAACAGAUAGCCUUGAGGAGAUGUGUGUGUGCGUCCGUUAAAAAAAAUCCAGAAACGACCAAACUCUGGCAACUUUCUAGAACGUAUUUUGUACCUAAAUGAAUGUGGCUCAGUAUUGCCUUUGUUUAGACUUUGAAUAAAAUUGAACAAAUCAUUAGAAGCCCUAUCCACCCAAAACAGUAAUCAGCCUAAUUUAAGAAGAGAUGGAGAUUUUAUUCACAUUAUCACUGUUAGAAUGCUGAUUGUGGAAGAAAUGCAUUAAGAAUAAAUUUUGUGUGGAAAACACCAUGGCUGAUAUUAAAAGUAGAAUUACCAUACGAUUCAGCAAUUGUACUUUUGGAUAUAUACCCAAAAGAAUUAAAAGUAAGGUCUCGAAGAUAUAUUUGUACAUCCACGUUCAUUGAAGAAUUAUUCACCAUAGCCAAAAGGUGGGAGCAAGCCAGAUGUCUAUCAACAGGUGAAGGGGUAAACAAAAUGUGGUCUGUGCAUACAAUGGAAUUUUAUUCAGCCUUAGAAAGGAAAGGAAUUCUGACUCAUGCUACAGCAUGGAUGAAUCUUGAGGACAUGACGCUAAGUGAAAUGACAAAUCGGUCACAAAAGGACAAAUACUGCAUGAUCUCACACAUGUGAGAUACUUAGGGAAGUCACAUUCAUGGAGACAGAAAGUAGAAGAGUGGUUGCCAGGGGCUGGGAUGAGAGGGGAAUGGGAGUGAGAAUGUGUUCUGUAACCCAUUGGGUUCUGUAACCCAUUCAUGCCUGAGGUUGCAAUUUUUUGAAUUUCUGCAAUCAGACCUUGGCGAUGAUCUUGAGCAGUAAGAUAUACAUAACUCCCACAUGCUUAGCAUUCCACUAAUGGAAUACUAGGCGUAAAUGGGCUUGAUGGGGGUAGUAUUUCAGAUUUGCAAGAAGCAAAAGCUCUGGGGAUUGGUUGCACAGCCAUCUGAAUGCACUUACUACUGAAUAGUACACUUAACAGUGGUUAAGAAGGUAAGUGUGAUGUUCUGUGUAUUUUACCAUAAUUAAAAGAAUAAAAAAGUAAGUUUUGGCCAGGCGAGGUGGCUCACGCCUGUAAUCCCAGCACUUUGGGAGGCCGAGGCGGGUGGAUCACCUGAGGUCAUGAGUUCGAGACCAGCCUGGCCAACAUGGUUAAACCCCAUCUCUACUAAAAAUACAAAAAUUAGCCAGGCGUGGUGGUGCAUGCUUGUAAUCCCAGCUACUCAGGAGGCUGAGGCAGGAGAAUCUUGAACCCGGGAGGUGGAGGGUGGAGGUUGCAGUGAGCCAAGAUCGCACCAUUGCACUCCAGCCUGGGCAACAAGAGUGAAACUGUCUCCAAAAGAAAAAAAAGUAAGUUUUGAUUGUUACGUAGUAGGUAAAAAACACCUUUUCAGAAGUUAUCUCUGUCCCCCUGUGCAGGAGAGCCACCUCAUAGAGGAGUGCUCGUUUGGGGAAAAGCUGCAGAAUGUUUUCCAUGACCCAAGAGUCACUGUCUGGCUGGGACAAGAGACCUGGAGGAGCAGGCGCCAGGGAGAGGGGAGGAGAUCCUUGGCCUCUCUCUGGGAAGAUAGUUGCUUUUUACAUGGUGGCUGCCCUGCCCAGGGAGGAGGCAUUACACACAGAGGGGUGGCAAGUUAUCAGUGACAAGAGAGGGAAGAGAAAUACGAUUUCUAGAAAAUUUGCCUUUUGGGACUGACCUUCAAGAAAAACUGAGAGAGAAAUCUCCAAGGUCAACAGGAAAGCAAAGCCACUAGAUGUCACCACAGCCAGUGCUCUGGUCAUUAAGUCCCCAGAUGGAGGAAAGAGCACAUCAGCAUGCCUGCACAGACAUGGAAAAGCUGGCUAAGACAUGCACAUGGGUCCAAGGCACUGCAGAAUUCCAUUUUUCCUACAGUUAAUAUUUAUGGCACAAAAAUGCAAUAGCUACAGUUUAAGACUGAUUCAUUGACACGUGACACUUGAAACUGUCCCUCUAAAUGUGGAUAUUAUACACAUGUUACUGGACUAAGCAUCCAUGCAAGACUUGGAGACCUUCUGCAGGCGCAGCCUGUUCCCCCACACCCGGCUCUAUCGGAUCCCACCUCGCAAGGUGAAGGCCGCAUUCUCUCAGGACGACCUGGUCUGCUAUAUCCCCUGGGAACCACUUUGCCUUGGCUCCUGCCAGAUGCUGCCUUUUCCCUUCAGGCUGGUGUAGAGUGGACACCUGAAAGUGCUCCCCAUCCCAUUCGGGUUGGGGCAUGCAGAGAUCCAGGUUUUGUCCUAAGAAACAGAAGACAGAGUGCCUUCCACAAAGUGCCUUUUCCUGCCCAGGGCUGUAUUAUCUCGGCAUCAUUCCCUGGGGCCAUCUGCGCUCAGCUCCGCAAUGUUUCUCUCAGCCUACCUUUAUGACUGCACACACACGCAUUCCUGAGUGAAUAUGCAUGCAGCAGUUCCUAAUUCUAAAACCUUCUAAAGGAAACUCUUUUCCCUGAAGAUAAAUAUUAACCUAUGCUCACAUUCUUAAGUUUUGUGGUGUACAAUAACUAAAAAUACUCUGUAAACAA